UACACUCCUGCGGGAGGCAGCAGUGGGGAAUUUUGGACAAUGGGCGAAAGCCUGAUCCAGCAAUGCCGCGUGAGUGAAGAAGGCCUUCGGGUUGUAAAGCUCUUUUGUCAGGGAAGAAACGGUGAGAGCUAAUAUCUUUUGCUAAUGACGGUACCUGAAGAAUAAGCACCGGCUAACUACGUGCCAGCAGCCGCGGUAAUACGUAGGGUGCAAGCGUUAAUCGGAAUUACUGGGCGUAAAGCGUGCGCAGGCGGUUUUGUAAGUCUGAUGUGGAAUCCCCGGGCUCAACCUGGGAAUUGCAUUGGAGACUGCAAGGCUAGAAUCUGGCAGAGGGGGGUAGAAUUCCACGUGUAGCAGUGAAAUGCGUAGAUAUGUGGAGGAACACCGAUGGCGAAGGCAGCCCCCUGGGUCAAGAUUGACGCUCAUGCACGAAAGCGUGGGGAGCAAACAGGAUUAGAAACCCCGGUAGUCCCA
rnacentral:rRNA from 1 species